rnacentral:rRNA from 1 species
CAGCAGCCGCGGGAAUACGAAGGGGGCUAGCGUUGCUCGGAAUGACUGGGCGUAAAGGGCGCGUAGGCGGUUCGUACAGUCAGAUGUGAAAUUCCUGGGCUCAACCUGGGGGCUGCAUUUGAUACGUGCGGACUAGAGUGGGGAAGAGGGUCGUGGAAUUCCCAGUGUAGAGGUGAAAUUCGUAGAUAUUGGGAAGAACACCGGUGGCGAAGGCGGCGACCUGGUCCUUGACUGACGCUGAGGCGCGAAAGCGUGGGGAGCAAACAGGAUUAGAUACCCCGGUAGUCUCUGUCUCUUAUAA